rnacentral:rRNA from 1 species
ACUACUUGGAUAACCGUGGUAAUUCUAGAGCUAAUACAUGCUGAAAACCCCAACUUCGGGAGGGGUGUAUAUAUUAGAUAAAAAACCAACGCCCUUCGGGGCUUCUUGGUGAUUCAUGAUAUCUUUACGGAUCGCAUGGCCUUGCGCCGGCCACGGUUCAUUCAAAUUUCUGCCCUAUCAACUUUCGAUGGUAAGGUAUUGGCUUACCAUGGUUUCAACGGGUAACGGGGAAUUAGGGUUCGAUUCCGGAGAGGGAGCCUGAGAAACGGCUACCACAUCCAGGAAGGCAGCAGGCGCGCAAAUUACCCAAUCCCGACACGGGGAGGUAGUGACAAUAAAUACUGAUACAGGGCUCUUUUGGGUCUUGUAAUUGGAAUGAGUACAAUUUAAACCUCUUAACGAGGAACAAUUGGAGGGCAAGUCUGGUGCCAGCAGCCGCGGUAAUUCCAGCUCCAAUAGCGUAUAUUAAAGUUGUUGCAGUUAAAAAGCUCGUAGUUGAACCUUGGGUCUGGCUGGCAGGUCCGCCUCACCGCGUGUACUUGUCCGGCCGGGCCUUCCUUCUGGAGAACCUCAUGCCCUUCACUGGGCGUGUUGGGGACCAGGACUUUUACUUUGAAAAAAUUAGAGUGUUCAAAGCAGGCCUUUGCUCGAAUACGUUAGCAUGGAAUAAUAGAAUAGGACGUGCGGUCCUAUUUUGUUGGUUUCUAGGACCGCCGUAAUGAUUAAUAGGGACAGUCGGGGGCAUCAGUAUUCAAUUGUCAGAGGUGAAAUUCUUGGAUUUAUUGAAGACUAACUACUGCGAAAGCAUUUGCCAAGGAUGUUUUCAUUAAUCAGUGAACGAAAGUUAGGGGAUCGAAGACGAUCAGAUACCGUCGUAGUCUUAACCGUAAACUAUGCCGACUAGGGAUCGGGCGAUGUUCUUUUUCUGACUCGCUCGGCACC